UCCGGCUUAACGCCGGCAGUCCCCCCAGAGUCCCCGGCCGAACCGCUGGCAACUGGGAGCGAGGGUUGCGCUCGUUGCGGGACUUAACCCAACACCUCACGGCACGAGCUGACGACAGCCAUGCACCACCUGCACAGAAGUCCCUUGCGGGAGGUUCUGGCUUUCACCAAAAUUUCCUCUGCAUGUCAAACCCAGGUAAGGUUCUUCGCGUUGCCUCGAAUUAAGCAACAUGCUCCGCCGCUUGUGCGGGGCCCCGUCAAUUCCUUUGAGUUUUAGCCCUGCGGCCGUACUCCCCAGGCGGGGUGCUUAAUGCGUUAGCUUCGGCACGGACGGGGUUGAUAUCCGCCCACACCUAGCACCCAACGUUUACGGCUAGGACUAC
rnacentral:misc_RNA from 1 species